CCCGUUAAUGUGAAUCAUGGAAACUGCUGAAGUUGAAGAAAUUUUGCUCUUAAUUGGGGAACCAAAGUUGCAUGGAGGGAUGUGUAAGAGUUUAUCAGCAAUUUAUGCUAAAGUAUUGGGGAUAUUUCCUGACUUGGAAGCAGCAAGGCCAAGAAGUACAUCAGGCAUUCAAGCAUUGUGUGCAUUGCACAUUGCCCUUGAGAAGACGAAGAAUAUUCUUCAACACUGUGCAGAGUGUAGUAAACUUUACUUGGCUAUAACUGGUGACUCUGUUGUUCUAAAGUUCGAGAAAGGCAAGAUGCGCUCUUGAAGAUGGUCUGAGGCGUGUCGAAGAUAUUGUUCCACAAGCUAUUGGUUCACAGAUAUCAGAAAUUUUGAUUGAUCUUAUGGGGAUUGAAUUCUCACUUGAUUCGAUGGAGAAACAAGUUGGUGACGAGAUAAUUGCAUUGCUCCAGCAAGGUAGAAAAUUCAACAACUCUAACGACACUGGUGAACUUGAAUCUUUUCACCAGGCUGCUUCUAGACUUGGUAUCACAUCUUCAAGAGCUGCACUUAGAGAGAGACGGGCUUUGAAGAAACUUAUAGACAGAGCUCGUGCUGAGGAAGACAAAAGAAAGGAAUCAAUUGUGGCUUAUCUUUUGCAUCUAAUGAGAAAAUAUCAAAAUUAUUUAGAAAUGAAUUUUCGGAUGAUAAUGACUCACAGGGUUCUACACCUUGUUCUCCAACUGUUCAAGGAUCAUUUGAGGAUGGUAGUGGGCCUGGAAUUAAUGGCCAUGCCUUUGACAGACAACUCUCAAAACUCAGCUCUUUUAACUUCAAGCCAAACUUCAGGAGAUCUGGGCAGAUUCCUGUCCUCCUGAAGAAUUAAGGUGCCCAAUAUCAUUGCAACUCAUGUAUGAUCCUGUAAUUAUUGCUUCUGGACAGACGUAUGAAAGAAUCUGCAUAGAGAAGUGGUUCAGCGAUGGGCACAAGACAUGCCCAAAAACUCAGCAGCAGCUGUGUCAUCUUGGAUUGACUCCAAAUUACUGUGUAAAGGGUCUAGUUGCUAGUUGGUGUGAACAGAAUGGAGUUCCUGUUCCAGAUGGCCCUCCCGAGUCUCUUGAUCUGAACUACUGGAGAUUGGCUCUGUCAGACAGUGAUACUGCAAAAUCAAAAUUAACCAUAAUGUUGGGUACUUCAAGUUCAAGGGUGUGAAGGUGGUACCCUUGGAGGAUAGUGGUGUUAUUGAGGAAGCUGAAGGAAAUGAAGUUGAAGAUGUUUCUCCACAGGAGCAUGAAUGUGGGGUCAAUUUAUUCGAAAGUAUAAAGACUUUUUGGUCAUCUUAGAAAAAGAAGACGACAUAACAAAACAGUGCAAAGUGGUAGAACAGAUAAGGCACUUGCUAAAGGAUGAUGAAGAAGCCAGAAUAUACAUGGGGGCAAAUGGUUUUGUUGAAGCAUUAUUGCGGUUUUUGGACUCGGCCUUGCAAGCAAGGAAUGAGACAGCUCAGGAAGUUGGAGCCAUGGCUCUUUUCAAUCUGGCUGUGAAUAAUAACAGAAACAAGGACUUGAUGCUGGAAGGAAAAGUGCUUGAAUUGCUGGGAAGAUGAUCAUUAAUUGCAAAUGUGCUGGAGCUGCAACAGCCCUUUACCUUAACCUGUCUUGCCUUGAAGAGGCCAAGCCCAUUAUUGGAUCCAGUGAAGCUGUCCCUUUCUUGAUUCAGGUUCUUCAGCAUCAACCUGAUGUACAAUGUAGGCUUGAUUCGCUCCAUGCCCUUUAUAAUCUUUCUGGCACCAAGCCAAUAUCCCCCCUUCUAUCAGCUGGUGUCAUUGACAGUUUGCAAGUCCUUAUCACAAAUUCGGGUGACCAUUCUUGGACAGAGAAAUCCAUUGCGGUUGUCAUAAACUUGGCUGCAAGUAGAUCAGCGCGUGAGGAAAUCAUAUCUUCUUCUGGCCUUGUCAGUGGGCUUGCACUAUUUUGGAUGUUGGUGAGCCUGUUGAGCAGGAGCAAGCUGCUGCAUGUCUUUUAAUACUAUGCAAUGGCAAUGAGAAGUGCAGUCAAAUGGUCCUUCAAGAAGGAGUGAUUCCUUCUUUGGUUUGUAUUUCUGUAAAUGGGACGACGAGAGGAAAACAGAAAGCUCAGAAGCUCUUAAUGUUGUUUCGUGAGCAGAGGCAGCGGGAGCCAUCAGCUGUCCAGGCUGCGCUGCAGCCUGAAUGUAGUGAGAUUCCCGUAACCACAGAAGAUGCAAAACCACUAUGCAAAUCAGUUUCCAGAAGAAAAGUGGGAAGAGCCUGGAGUUUUUGGUGGAAGAACAAGAGUUUUUCUGUAUACCAGUGUUAAGAGACUCUUCUUAGUUCCUUUGCUGACAAUCUUGUACAUUAAAUCACGUAUCUCUCCUUUGUAUUAAUUAGUUCUGUCCUAUUCAAUAGGCAUCGUGUUUUCCAGUUUCCUGUUUCCCACAGAAGAUAUGUACAGGUUCCUGUAAGGCUAUAGCCACUAAAUUUUGCUUGCUUUAUCUUCCUGAUAGAAUAGCGUACAACUACCCAAAAGUGAACCCUUAGUUGAAGUUUUAAAAGUGAAUCUCCUGGUACUUAAAGAACGGGAGUCUGUAAAUGAUGUAAACUUGCAUCGCGACCAAUUGAAGAGUUAGAUGGCAUGCUAUUCAAAGGGAAGGCGAUCUUGUGAAUUUUCCUU